UGAGGUUUUUCCUGAAUUGGACAAACUAUUCUGACGUCGCAUAAAUUACAUCCAGCAUGAUUUAAGUUUUAUCUACUGACAGAAACCAACUGGGACUGACCUGAUUUUCUGUGUUGAUUAAUCAAAUGUUAUGGUUCGAACUCGUUGAUACCUCUCAGCUGAAAAAACUUCAAAGGCCUAUUGUUUUAAUCGUGUGGGGGAAUGCUUCUUUAAAUCGCAACUAGUUAACAAACCUUCCAGGGUAACUAGGGCACUCAGGCUCUGCCAAACAUAAGUGAUCCACGAUGGUUACUCAAAGCGGCGUAGGAAGAAGCCUGGAAGGGGAGGCAAGGGAUGCGGAUUCUACUGCUCGCUUGAGCUGGACCGUGCCUCCUUAAGAUUUCCUGAGAGUAGACACCUAAGGAAACGGAAGUUUGUAAGAGGACUAAAAGCAAAGUGGUUAACCCCUCUUGCUAAAUAUAAUCCCCCCACUCAAAGCAAGCAAGCCAACAAACAAUGCGUUUACGUACCUCCUAUACAAAGGGGGCCUCAAACCCGGAAGCCACCGGAUUCAGCGAGCACUUCAGAAAAUGUCUGCACAUGACCUUAUGGAAAGUUUGAAAAGUUAGAAAUAGGCCAAGUGUGUCUUGAUCCAUUCUUCUGAACACGCCUCUUCUGCUGCUGGGAAGGCCUAGCUCUGAAUUGUCUUGACACUGGGGGGAGAAGGAGCUGGCAGUGAGCUGACCUCUACCAAAGUGACCCGGAUCCGGAAGCCAGUGGAGGAGAGCCUGGGGCUUGGUAGGUGAGUGAGUGUGGCUGGAACUUCUCUGACACAAAUCGAUUCGGUUGUGUGCCCUGAGAUCGGGCUCUCUUGGGAGGACUCUGAGAUGCCAGGCAAUGGUCGCCCCUGAUCUCCAUCUAACAACGCCAGCUUGUCUCCCUGGGUUACCAUCUACUCCCUUCCCUCGUAUGUCACCAGACUCCUCAAACAGUGACAGGGCAUUACUACUAAAUGAGGAAAGAAAAGGAUAAGAAGCAGUACAUGCAAAAUGACCUGAAUUGUGUGAAAAGAAGAAAAAAUCACACUCACGAAUAAGAUGGGAAGAAAAGACACUAAAAGUUGGCAGAGGUACUAUAGGG
rnacentral:lncRNA from 1 species